CAGUCGACGGUGAGCCAGCUUGCUGGGUGGAUCAGUGGCGAACGGGUGAGUAACACGUGAGCAACCUGCCCUCCACUUCGGGAUAAGCCUUGGAAACGAGGUCUAAUACCGGAUACGAGCGCCUGCCGCAUGGUGGGUGUUGGAAAGUUUUUCGGUGGGGGAUGGGCUCGCGGCCUAUCAGCUUGUUGGUGGGGUAAUGGCCUACCAAGGCGUCGACGGGUAGCCGGCCUGAGAGGGCGACCGGCCACACUGGGACUGAGACACGGCCCAGACUCCUACGGGAGGCAGCAGUGGGGAAUAUUGCACAAUGGGCGAAAGCCUGAUGCAGCGACGCCACGUGAGGGAUGACGGCCUUCGGGUUGUAAACCUCUUUCAGCAGGGAAGAAGCGCAAGUGACGGUACCUGCAGAAGAAGCGCCGGCUAACUACGUGCCAGCAGCCGCGGUAAUACGUAGGGCGCAAGCGUUGUCCGGAAUUAUUGGGCGUAAAGAGCUCGUAGGCGGUCUGUCGCGUCUGGUGUGAAAUCUCAUGGCUCAACUGUGAGCUUGCAUCGGGUACGGGCAGACUAGAGUGCUGUAGGGGAGACUGGAAUUCCUGGUGUAGCGGUGGAAUGCGCAGAUAUCAGGAGGAACACCGAUGGCGAAGGCAGGUCUCUGGGCAGUUACUGACGCUGAGGAGCGAAAGCAUGGGGAGCGAACAGGAUUAGAUACCCUGGUAGUCCAUGCCGUAAACGUUGGGCACUAGGUGUGGGGCGGGUUCCACUCGUUCUGUGCCGUAGCUAACGCAUUAAGUGCCCCGCCUGGGGAGUACGGCCGCAAGGCUAAAACUCAAAGGAAUUGACGGGGGCCCGCACAAGCGGCGGAGCAUGCGGAUUAAUUCGAUGCAACGCGAAGAACCUUACCAAGGCUUGACAUGUACGAGAAAGCCCCAGAGAUGGGGUUCUCUUUGGACACUCGUACACAGGGGGGUGCAUGGUUGUCGUCAGCUCGUGUCGUGAGAUGUUGGGUUAAGUCCCGCAACGAGCGCAACCNUUAUCCUAUGGUUGCCAGCGGGNUUAUGCCGGGGGACUCAUGGG
rnacentral:rRNA from 1 species